rnacentral:lncRNA from 1 species
GGGAGUCAUAAUUAUGUCACGCGAACGUGUACACAAUUACAAUAAUAGAUUAGAACGCGCCAAAAGCAUUUCUACGAUGUUCAUGAAUUAUUUCCUUUUACAUUUGAGAUUAAUGUAUGGCCAAGAGUAUUGAACUAAUGCGUAAAGAUAUAGAGGCAAUUGGUAUUCAUCCAUCCACUGAUGUAGGCCAUCUAUUAAGUUUUUACUUUGAGCCAAAUUGAGAUAUUCGUUCCAACUAAGUAAUUAGAAAAUUCAACUGCUUUUUCUUUUACAAGAGUACAAGGGUGUAAAUUCCAUAACAUAAAAACCAAAAAAUCAAAUAUGGUAAAUAGCACAUGAUACCAAUUAACAAAUGAAAUAUCAUUACAUUCUGCCAAACAAAGCAAAGAGAUAGUAAUCAGCAAAGCAACCAAACAAUUGAUGGAAUUUAGAUGAACCUGAAGUUGAGAGCUUGUAAAUCAAUAGAAGAGAUGAUAUGACUACCAAAAUGAGCAAUAAAUGAGCUCAAACAACCAAAAAGACAUGGACAUCUGCUCGGGAUACUUUCAGUCAAUUCAACGUAGGAAAUUUACAACUACAAGGAUCAAACAAAACCAUAGAAAGAGGUCUCAAACAUAUUAAACUCGACAUUAGAAUAGAAUGAGAAAGGAAAGAGUUGAACCUCAAGUUGCCUUCAAUUAAUAAAAAUUCCAGCAGUUACACGGAUAGAAGAAAACCACAACUACGAUCGAAACUCAAAUCAGACAGGACUCUCGAACACGGACCCUGACAGAACCUCGAUUCGGUACAAGAAAUUUUGAGUCCAUACACGAACUCAAAUGACCUCCAUUUUGGAAUGAAAAUCAGAGGACAACACCUCCGAUUUUUUGAGAUGCAAGUCGGUAAAAAAGAAAAAGAAAACAAAAUAUUUUUUCAUUUUUUUGUAUAAGGGAUGGGGUCGCGGCUGUGGUUUGGGAUUUCUAGCUCUGUAGAUGGUGGCGUCGCCACUCGCCGGUGAUCAAUUCCGGCGAGGCAACAACUCGAGUGAGUAAGCGGCGGAUUAAGAUUUAGGGGUGUUGGAGUGGAGGAGUUCGUUGAUGCCUGCUUAAGGUGUUUGGGUUUUUGAUGGGGUGUGAAGAAGAUGAAGGGGGUGUCGUGUGUUUGGUGAGGGUGUGUUGUGUGUGUGUUAGCUGCUGCUUCUCUAGGUUUUUGUUGUCAAGAAAAAUGGGUGGAAACGACUGGGGUCCUCAAGAAUAGGGUUGGGGUCUGUUUUUGUUUUUAAAAGAAGAGUCUAAAAGGGUCUCUAGGGUUAGCUUAGUGGGUAUUGGGUAUUGGGCUUGGAUUUAUGGGCUAAGGGUCUGAAAAUUGGGCCUAAAAAUGGGUUGUUUGAACCUAAAUUUUAUUCUUUCUCAUUGAACAAGACUAAAAAUACUACCCAUUUACUAGUUAAUCCUACUUAAGUAAAAUAACUAUCAAAAUAAGACUAACCGUUAAAACAAAACCUAUUUUUGAUAUUUUUUUCAAAUAUCAUACUAAAAAUAAAAAUGGAAUUAGAUAAAAAUCAUUGCAAAAUUAAAAUAAUAUUCCUACCAAACUACUAAUAUUCCUGAAAAUAAAGUGGAACUAUUUGUUUGUAUUUUUAAAUUUUAUGAAAUGUAGAUAAACUAAAAGUAAGAAGAUAAAAUAUCAAUUACCUAAAUAAAAGAAAAUAUUGUUUGUAAUUUUUAUUUUUGUGACAAAAUAAAGUAAAAAAAGGUCAAAAUUCGUUAAAGUAGCGAUAUUAGACCUAAACUAAAUAUUUAAAUACUAAAAUAUGUAAAAUCUUGGGGAGGGUAAAAAAUUACAUGACUACAACUUCCCCUCUUUAACUGAAAACACGAAGAGUUUUCAGACAAAGAACGACGAGAAAGGUUUUUUUGACCCGACCCUUAUUUAGAGAGACCAAAAACUAAAAUAAAGGAGAAUGUGACCGAGCCCUGGUAUCUGAGCUGCCUACAUAUCCUUGGCUAUAAAGAAAUCAAGCCAAGUGUAGUUUAGAAGUAGGAACAGUGAUGGAGUGUACCGAGGUGAAGAGCCGAGUGAGGUUCCAUCGAGGCUCCGGUCCGUGGUCCUGUUAUUACAUCAAAAAUCAAAAUUAAAAAGACUAACUAAGCCUAUCAUCUACGAGUUACAUGAUUCCUAUCUAUGAGUCUUUUGAAGAUUGAUCUUGAGUCUUGGUUGAUUUUUCAUGCGGACUAUAAUCUGAAUCUUGAUGAUUGUUAGUUGCAGGUGUUAGUUCAUUCUUCCAUGGCUUCUUCGGAUCAAGACCGGAUAUGUAGAGCUCGUGACUUCAGCCAUGUCUUGAGCAGUUCACAUCUUUCAUCUGCUUCUGCAUUUGGAUUCACUUCCCUUUUUUUCUUGUUUUUUCUUUUUUUUUUCUUAGAUUGAGACUUCUUCUUUGGUUAUCUCAAACCCCCGUGCCUCGAGGUAAAGGCUUUAUUCUUUAGGCAACUCGUGCUAGUUCCGAUUUGAAACUUGAAAUGAAUUCCAUCAUUCUCCAGAUGGGCUCCUGCGACUACAACAAAACAGACAAAACAAAAGAAACCUUUCUGCCCCAGUUUGCACUAGGAAGAUUUGUGAGUUAUUAGCAGAACUAUGAAUCACCACCGCUAUUGAUGAAAGAUGUAAUGAUGAGAGUAAAAUUAAAGACUCGACUAGGAUGUGUGUCUCCUAGGGAUGAAACUUGAAUAAUCCAAACUAGAAAGUGUGUCUCCUAGAUUUGGGAUUGAGCUUGCGGAAAACUAUAAACUAAGCUUGACUAAAGUAAAAACUGACCCCAUUCUCCAGGUGGGACCCCUGAUUUCAAGAAAACUAAAGAUUGGUAACUUAAGAAAAUUAACAAUUGACCCUUUUUUUUCAAAUCCAGACUUCCUCUUUUUUUUUUUAAGAAACUAUUAUCCUAGGAGAAAAUUCAUAAGACUAGGUUUUAAUCUUAGGAGAAAGAUUCAUCAGACUAAGAUUUUUAUCCUUGGUGAAAGUUUCAUCAGACUAGGAUUUCUAUCCUAGGAGAAAAUUUUCAUCAGACUAGGUUUCCUAUAUUAGGAGAAACAUUUAUCAGACUAAGACAUUUAUUCUAGGAGAAAGAUUCAUAAGACUAGGUUUUUUUUUGUUAUCUUGGGAGAAAGAUUCAUUAGACUAAGAUUUCUAUCAUAGGAGAAAUUUCUUCAGACUAGGUCUUCUAUCAUCGGAGAAAGAUUCAUCAGACUAAGAUUUCGAUCCUAGGAGAAAAUUCAUCAGACUAGGUCAUUUUUUGUUAUUUUAGUUGAAAGAGUCAUCAGACUAAGAUUUCUAUCCUAGGAGAAAAUUCAUCAGACUAGGUUUUCUAUCUUAGAAGAAAAAUUCAUCAGACUACUAUUUUAUUUGGAGAAAUUCAUCAGACUGCUAGAUACAAGUGUUUUAGUGACAGAUUAGUGACGACGUUCGUAGUUAAUUCUAGUUUUUUUUGUAGUAAAAGCGGUAAAUGAACGGCAAUUAGCACAUUAGGCCCACAAACACUAUAAUAUUAACAAACAAUAAAGCUAAGUACAGAUUAUAUUACAAGCUCGAAUUCUGAACCCUAAACAAGAGAUUCUAGGUUCUUAUCCUCAGGAGAGUUGCCAGAGCUGUCACACCUCCUUUUUACCUGAAUGGGAUAUAAGGAAUUUUUUCUAAUUAAAGUAACAAUAAUUGAAAUGGUAUUAUUUAUUAAAAUUUAUAGUUGCCACUUGGAAUAAUUUAUGGUGUCUCAAGUUACUGAUUUAUUUUAAUAUCCCAAAUCGAGGAAAAUUUGACUUCAUAAAAGUCUACAAAACCAGAAGACCGGGUAAGGAAUUCUGUUAACCUGGGAGAAGGUGUUAGGCACUCCCGAAUUUCGUAGUUUUAUCAUGGUCUCUUUAAUCAUACAUGGCUUAAUUAAAUUGUUUAAUUACGUGUUUUAGAACCUAUUUGCUCUUUUCAUUUUACCUUUUUUAAUUUGAAAUGAAUCAUGCAUACAUGUAUUCAUUUCAUUUGGUGCGUCAAGAAUCAUGUCACGCGUACAUGUCCGCAAUUAAUCACACUUUAUUAAAAUUAAGAAAGUUUGGUCGAAGUUGCGUGAAUGCAUACCUCAAUUUAUUUUGGGAAUAAUAAUUAUGUCAUGCGAACAUAUACACAAUCACAAUAAUAGAUUAGAACGAGCCAAAAGCAUUUCUACGAUGUUCAUGAAUUAUUUCCUAUUACAUUUUAGAUUAAUAUAUGCCCAAGAGUAUUGAACUAAUGCGUAAAGAUAUAGAGGCAAUUGGUAUUCAUCCAUCCAUUGACGUAGGCCAUCUAUUAAGUUUUUACUUUGAGCCAAAUUGCGAUAUUUGUUCCAACGAAGCAAUUGGAAAAUUCAACAGCUUUUUCUUUUACAAGAGUACAAGGGUGUAAAUCCCAUAACAUAAAAACCAAACAAUCAAAUAUGGUAAAUAGCACAUGAGACCAAUUAACAAAUGGAAUAUCAUCACAUUCUGCCAAACAAAGCAAAGAGAUAGUAACCCGGCAAAGCAACCUAACGAUUGAUGGAAUUUAGCAAAAACAAUGGACCUUUCGAUGAACCUGAAGUUGAGAGCUUGUAAAUCAAUAGAAGAGAUGAGAUGACUACCAAAGUGAGCAACAAAUGAGCUCAAACAACAACAAAAAACAUGGACAUCUGCUCAGGAUACUUUUAGUCAAUUCAACGUAGGAAAUUUACAACUACAAGGGUCAAACAAAACCAUAGAAAGCGGUCUCAAACAUAUUAAACUCGACAUUAGAAAAGAAUGAGAGAGGAAAUAAUUUAACCUCAAGUUGCCUUCAAUUAAUAAAAAUUCCAGCAGUUACACAGAUGGAAGAAAACCACAACUACGAUUGGAACUCAAAUCAGACAGGACUCUCGAACUGUAGCGGCCCGGCCGGUCAUUUUAACAAUUAAUGCUCCAAUCCCCUAUUAAGCGCAUUCCCCAUGUUUAUUUCUCCUAUUUUAAGUUUCGGGAGGGUUCGUUUUGAAUUUCGGAGUGUUUCGGGACACUUAGUCCCUAAAUGAGAGUUUAAGCUUUAGAAUUUGGACCGUAGUCGGAGCAGUAUGAAGACGGACUCAAAAUAGAAUUUCAUUGGUUCCAUUAGCUCCGUAGGGUGAUUUUGGGCUUAGGGGCGUGUUCGAAUUGUAUUUUGGAGGUCUGUAGCUUAAUUAGGCUUGAAAUGCCGAAAGACAAAUUUUUGAAGUUUCCGGUUCGAUAGUGAGAUUUUGAUAUCGGGGUCGGAAUGGAAUUUAGGAAGUUGGAGUAGGUCUAUCGUAUUAUUUGGGACAUGUGUGCAAAAUUUCAGGUCAUUCGGAUUUGAUAGACUUUUUUAUCGAAAGCGGAAUUUAGAAGUUUUGGGAAUCCUUAAGCUUGGAUUGGAGAGUGAUUUGUGGUUGUAGCGUUGUUUGAUGUGAUUUGAGGGUGGGAAUAAGUUCCUAUGAUGUUUUAGGAUUGGUUGGCAUAUUUGGUUGAUGUCCCGAGGGACUCAGGUAAUUUUGGGUGCUUAUCGGAAGUUGAAUUGGACAUAGAAAAAAUCUGAAGUUGGCUAGAUCUGUCAUAACCGCACCUGCGUGCAUGGGACCGCAUGUACGGGCCUGCAAAAGCGAUGGAGAAGACGCAGAUGUGGCCGGACAUUUGGAGUUCUGAAGUCGUACGUGCGAGAGCUAGAGCGCACCUGCGAGACCAUAGGUGCGGUAAAAGAAGCAUAGGUGCGGCUUGGUGCUCUAAGUGAAUUUUCGCAGAUACGCACCUGGGACCACAUGUGCGGGUCCGCAGGUGCGAGAAUAUGGUCGUAGGUGCGGAAACCGUGGGCCAGAACCUACAUAAGGAUUCUGUAGCGAUUUUUGGUCUAUUCUUUCACUAUUUUAUCCGAGAAUUUGAGCUUUUGGGAGGUUUUUGAGAGAGAAUUCAAGGGAGCUUCAAGGAGGUAAGAUUUUUGGAACCCAAACUCGUUAUUAUGGUAUUUUUCUACUGGUUUGGCAAGAAAUUUGUGGAAGAUAAGGGUUAAAUUUGGGGGUUAGGGUUUGAAAUUGGAGACAUGGAAUUGGGGAUUCGAGAAGUUGUUUGUGGUCCAAUUUUCAUGUAUUUGGUAUGUAUGAACUUAUGGGAGCGUGAGGAUUCUUGUUUUGAGAAUUUUAUCUGAUUCCGAGAUAGGGGCCCGGGAGAUCCCCUUGCUUGUUUACUUUGGGACUACGGAUCAGUAUUCCGGUAGAUCCCCCUGCACAUUUAUGAUUAGAACUAUGGGACAGCACCCGGUAAAUUGCUCGUACUAGAUAUUUACUUUGGGACUGCGGAUUUGGUAUUUCAAGAGAUUACCUUGCGCAUUUACAUUUGGGACUAAGGGAUGGUAUCCGGGGAGAUCCCCUGUUGCUAUUUCUGUGUACUAAGUUAGAUUCUUUCUGUGUUUUUAUUCGUUAUAGACUAUUAGCACUUUAAUUAUAUUGUCGUAUUCUAUACUAUUUUACCUUGUUAUUCAUCUAUAAUCAGUAGGGACCUGACUUUCCUCGUCAUUACCCGACCGAGGUUAGGCUUGGCACUUACUGAGUACCGCUGUGGUGUACUCAUGCCUUUCCAGCACAUGUUUUUCAUGUGCAGAUCUAGGUUCUUCGGCUCAGCCCUACCAUCCUUGAGGUGAUGCGAUUCUUUAGAGACUUCGAGGUAUAUCUGUCGCGUCCGCAGACCGAGGAGUCCCUCUUUAUUUUCUCUUUUAGUUUUAGCCUUUCCGCAUUUACUUUGAUUUAGACAUUCUAGAGUUAGAGCAUUAUGUAGUAUCCAUAGCUUGUGAUUUCAUGCGAUUUCGGGUUUUUGGGAGAUUUUUUCAGUUGAGAGUGUGUAUUUGUAUAUGUCGAGCGGCAUCUUAAAUGUUUUCAUUAUGUUUAUCCGUAGUUUCUAUUAGUUUUUAUUUGUUGUUUUCUUUUUUUUUCCGGUAGGGCGAACGAGGGACGUGAGAAGUUGGUAUCAGAUCUCUAGGUUCAUAGGAGUCAUGAAUCACAAGCCAGUUUAUUAGAGUCUCGUGGAGACGUCUGUAUUUAUCUAUAAGAGGCCAUGUAACUGUUAGGAAAAUUUCACUUCAUUUGAUUUCCUUGUUGUGUGAGAUUUUUGAUAUCACAAUUCUAAACUUUUGUCUUCUAUUCUCUCACAGAUGGUAAGGACAUGUGCUACUGGAGAUGACCAGGCACCCGCACCCCUUACUAGAGCCGUCAGAGGUCGGGGCCGACGUAGAGGCUGAGGACGCGCCUGUGGUGCAGCUAGAGCACCCACGCGAGCUGCCACACAGAAGCCACUAGUAGCUCCAGCCAGAGUCCAGACACCUGAUAUGCCUUAUGCUACUACUAUUCCAGCUCUUCAGGAGACUCUUGCACAGCUCGUGAGCAUGUACACCACUCUAGCUCAGGUAGGGUUGAUUCCCUUUGCUGCAUCCACAUUCCAGGUUGGAGAGGAGCACAGACUCUCAGCAGCCGCACUCCUGAGCAGUGGGUCUAGGUUGAUCAGAUCCUAAAGGUUAUACCGGCACCGCCUGCAGUCCCAGAUCAUCCCGAGGACAGGGCAACGACCUCAGAGGAUGAGCAACGGAGGCUUGAGAGGUUCAAGAAGUGUAAGCCUCCUGUAUUCAGUGGUUUGGCAUCAGAUGAUGCCCUAAGAUUUCUAGAGGAGUGUCACUGUAUCCUCCGCACUAUGGGUAUAUCAUGAUCGAGUGGGGUUUCUUUCACUGACUUCUAGCUUCGAGGAGCUGCCUACCAGUGGUGGCGUACUUUUUAGUUGGACAGUCCAACCGAGGUAGCAUCCCUUACUUGGACUCAGUUUUCAGAUAUGUUCUUGAGAGAGUUUGUCCUUCAGAGCCUCAGGGAUGCAUGGCGUGCAGAGUUUGAGCAUUUGUGCCAAGGCAGUAUGACUGUUUUAGAGUAUGCUAUCCGUUUCACUGACUUGGCUAGGCAUGUACCAGCCUUGGUUGCUACAGUUUGUGAGAGAGUUUGUCGGUUUAUAGAGGGGAUCAUUCCUAGCAUCAGGUCUAGCAUGGCUCGUGAGUUCGAGAUGGAUAUUUCUUAUUAGCAGGUGGUGAGCAUUGCUAGGAGAGUGGAGGUUAUGCAUGCUCGGGAUAGAGAGGAGAGAGAGGCCAAGAUGUCUCGAGAGUUGGGUCAUUAUUCUGGUGCCCAUGCUCCAACUGUAGUUCGUCAUGGUAGGGGUUAUAUGAGUCUCCCUAUUCAUUCAGCUCUUCCAACAGCCAGUGGUAUUCCAGCUCCUCCUGGGCCUCAAGAGCCUUAUUAUGCACCUCAAAUAUCUAGUGUGCCCUCCUGCGCGGGGUGCUUUCAAUGGUUAGUCCAACAGACUUGGCCCGAGCCAAUCACAGCCGCCACAUCCUCCCAUAGCUUGUUUUGAGUGUGGUGACACACGCCAUAUGGUGAGGGAUUUCCCUAGACUUAGGAGGGGUGCACCUCCACAUACUUCUCAGCAGCGUGCCCCGUAGAGUUCCUAGG